AAAUGCAGCUAGUUUGCGGUCUUUUCAGCUUCAGUUUGAAGUGAUUGUUUAUUUUUUAGUAUAACGUUUGGUUAACUAGGCAAGUCAGUUAAGAACAAAUAAUAUUUUACAAUGAAGGCCUACCCCGGCCAAACCCAGACGACGCGUUUGGCUAACUCCUGAACAACAGUGUUCUGACGAAAGCACAUUUUCUAUGCCAGGUUAAAUCGAUCAUCAUUAGCUCAGUGUUAUGAAUGUAUCCAGAUAAAUGUCACAAAAAAACAGCUUAAGCAAAUGCAGCUACUUUGCUGUUAUUAUGGCUGCGCUGUUUGACGUGACUAAGUUAGCUGUAGUUGGCUAGCAAGCAAAGGAUAAGAACGUUGCCAGCCAGUAUGGCAAUAGAACGACUGGGUCGCAUCCAUUGAUACAGAACAAAAAGAUUUAAUGACUUGGGGAGCAAAGCCUAGAUUUGUGUCCGGACUAUAUCUCGUGGAAGGAUGAAAUGAUCUGCCUGCAGAAUGUUGCCUACCAUAGAUGACUGGUCUACCUACACUCCUAAGGAUUUCACUAACUCUAGGCGUGCAAGAGAGGUAUGUUGGAGAUGGUGAAAAGACUGGAGGUGGUGAUGGAUCUGUAAAUCAACAAACACCAAUCAAUGGAUGCUGCUGACCUCCAUGUUGCUUGCACUGUGCCAGCAAAGGACUGACAGUACAUUUGUCCAGUGGAAGUGGUGUGUCAAACGCAGCAAAUGCUAUUCUUCUUUCGCUCUUUUCCUGAACACAUAAAUGUUCACUCUUUUAGCUUGAUAUGGCUGGUUCUGGUUAUAUAGAGGAGAGAAAGGGUUAGAAGCAUCAGACUGCAAACAGAAUUCAAACCAACUGCUUCUUACCCCACAAUCCAAGAAUUAGAUCAGUCUGGGUUAAGAAUUUGAAUUGAUAUAUCCUUGGCUUUGUUGCUGGGUUAAAAUUACAGUGUUCGUACGGACUACAGUGUGUUGUUUAGUUGGAUGCAAAUGCUCAUCUCUUAUUCUGCCAGUGAAAAAGAUGGACAAAUCCAGGAGCUCUGGACUACAGAAAAUUAUUUACAUUUUGUAAUGAGAAAUACCCUGGUGUGUGAGGGCAGUUGGGUCAGCCCUUCAGUCUGUACAUUGGGUAUGAAUCCCUUUGCAGAUCAGAAAAAUCAACUGUUAAUAAGUAUUUUUUAAAUGAAUAAAGUUUGAAGAGUUGGUCUUACAUGCAUAUACAACAGACAUUUACAGAUGUGCCCUCUUGUGUGUUUGUGUGGACCUAUAGCUCUGUGUAAUAGGUGCAGACCAGGAGAGGGUAAGGUGGACUAUCUCAAACUGAGCAUCAUCUCCCUAUCUACCCCAGACCUGUGACACAUUUAGAUGAGGGAGAAUUCAGAUUGGAGCUUGAGUCAGAUCAGCAGCAUAGGUACUGGUCCCUGGAUGCAGCUGUUCCCUUCAUUUCUCUCCUGAAUCUAUUCAGGUACCUUUUGCUCUCAAAAGGUGGCAUCUGAUAGCCAACAGAAAGAAGCUGACAGGCGGAUUAAAACAAUAG